rnacentral:rRNA from 1 species
UUCAAGAAUUAAGGGCAUAGAGCGGAAGCCUUGGUACUCACAGACGAAGAAGGACGUGCAAGUCGACGAAACGCUUCUGAAAGCUGACUAGACGCAAUGACCAGAAGAUUUCCGAAUGGGGUAACCCCUUGAUCUUUUAAAUAUUUAAAAGAAGAUAACCUGGGGAACUGAACCAUCUUAUUACCCAGAGGAAUAAAAAGUAACAACGAUUUCCUUAGUAGUGGCGAACGAAACGGAAUAAAAAACAGUUGUGUAUUUAAUUCCAACUGUUUUGUCUAUUAAGUAAGGUGGGAUACGUGAAUUCCCGCCUGAAUAUACGAGGGCCACCUCGUAAGACUAAAUACUCGUGAGUAACCGAUAGUGAACUAGUACCGUGAGGGAAAGGUGAAAAGAACCCCGAGAGGGGAGUGAAAAGAACAUGAAACUCUAUGCCUACAAACAAUAGAAGGGUCAAAAGGGCCUGACUGUGUGCCUGUUGAAGAAGGAGCCGAGGAGUCAUGACAAUUUAAGCAAAAGGUUAAGAGAUAUAAAUACUUGAAGCCAGAGUGAAAGCGAGCUACAUAGUAGCGUGUGUUUAUUGUUAUGGACCCGAACCCGGAUGAUCUAACCAUGUCCAGAGUGAAGCACAGAUAAAACUGUGUGGAGGCUCGAACCGGUUGAUGCUGCAAAAUCAUCGGAGGAGGUGUGGUUAGCGGUGAAAUGCCAAACGAAUUCGGAGCUAGCUGGUUCUCCCCAAAAUGCGUGUAGGCGCAGCUAUCAAUUAAAAUAUAGUGGGAGUAAAGCACUGUUUCGGCAAGGGCCGAGUUUUCGGUACCUAGUUGAUACAAACUCAGAACACCAUUAUAAUAUUUAUGAUAAGUGAGACUUUUGGGGAUAAGCUCAAAAGUCAAAAGGGAAACAGCCCAGACCAAAGGCUAAGGUACCUUAAUAAGUAUUAAGUUUAAAAGGAAGUAGAGUUGUUUAGACAGCCAGAAGGUUGGCUUAGAAGCAGCAAUCCUUUAAAGAGUGCGUAAUAGCUCACUGGGUUAAUGACUAUGCGCCAAAAAUUAUAGGAAAUAAAUACUUUACCGAAGCCAUGGGAAUUAUAGUAAGUAUAUUUCUAUAAUUCGGUAGGGGAGCGUACUGCAGUAGGAUAAAGCAACAACGAAAGUUAAUGUGAACGAAGCAGUAGUGAGAAUCUCGGCUUAAGUAGCAAAAUUAUUAGUUAAAAUCUAAUACCCCUAAUACCUAAGGUUUCCUACGCUACGGAGAUUCCACGUAGGGUUAGUCGGGGCCUAAAAUGAGAUGUAGUGUGUAAUUGAUGGGUAACAGGUUAAUAUUCCUGUACCAUACCUUAUUUGUGCAAUAAGUGACCAGAUGCCCAGAUACAUUUUAAAUGCUACUAAUGGUUAUAUUAGUUAGUUUAAAGUAAGUUAGACCAUUUAACGUGUAAAUGGCAUCUGCUAGAAAAGCUGUGUUGUGUUAAAAUAGGUAUGCCCGUACUAAAACUGACACAAGUAGGUAAGUAUAAAUGUACUAUGGGGGACGAAUAACUUAUCUCUAAGGAACUCGGCAAAUUGAUCCUGUAACUUUGGGAGAAAGGAUACCCUUGUAGGGUUAUAAAAAGGCCCGAGCGACUGUUUAUCAAAAACACAGGUCUCCGCUAAGUCUAACGACGAUGUAUGGAGGCUGACGCCUGCCCAGUGCCGGAAGGUUAAAAAAGAAAGUUAUCUAAAAUACAGAGAAGCUUUUUUUUGAAGCCCCGGUAAACGGCGGCUGUAACUAUAACGGUCCAAAGGUAGCGAAAUUCCUUGUCGGGUAAUUUCCGACCCGCACGAAAGGCGUAACGACUUGGGCACUGUCUUAGAGAUAAAUUCGGCGAAAUAGAAGUGUCUGUGAAGAUGCAGACUAUCUACACCAGGACAGAAAGACCCUAUGAAGCUUUACUGCAGUUUGAAAUUGAAUUUUAAAGUUAAUUGCGCAGGAUAAGUGGGAGAUUAAGAAACAACUUUUUAGGAAGUUGUAGAGUCGUCCUUGAGAUACCACUCGAGUAGAUUUGAAAUUCUAAUGAUAAUUCUGUUAACCAGUUAUCAAACAGUUUCAAAUAGGUAGUUUGACUGGGGCGGUCGCCUCCUAAAAAGUAACGGAGGUGCACAAAGGUUUUUUCAAAUCGGUCAGCAAUCGAUUUAUGCGUGUAAAGAUAUAAAAAAGCUUGACUGUAAGAUUUACAAAUCGAACAGGGACGAAAGUCGGUCUUAGUGUUCCGACGGUUCUAAGUGGUGAGGCCGUCGCUAAACGGAUAAAAGUUACUCUAGGGAUAACAGGCUGAUCUCCCCUGAUAGUUCCUAUUGACGGGGAGGUUUGGCACCUCGAUGUCGGCUCGUCGCAUCCUAAGGCAGUAGUAUGUCUUAAGGGUUGGUCUGUUCGCCCAUUAAAGCGGCACGUGAGCUGGGUUCAGAACGUCGUGAGACAGUUCGGUCCGUAUCCGGUGUAGACGUUAGAACACUGAAAAGUUUUUCUCUAGUACGAGAGGACCGAGAAAAUUAAACCGCUGGUAUACCAGUUAUCUUACCAAAGGUAUCCGCUGGGUAGCUAAGUUUAGUAAAAUUAACCGCUGAAUGCAUAUAAGCGGGAAAUUCACUUUAAGAUAAGUGUUCUCGUCGUUUAAAACGAGUAAGAAUGUAAAAAGACUAUUUACUAUAUAGUAAGAUUGUGUAAUAAUAGUAAUAUUUUUAGCAUAUCUUCACUGUUAAUUCGAGGACUUGAACCU